UACGAAGGGGGCUAGCGUUGCUCGGAAUCACUGGGCGUAAAGGGUGCGUAGGCGGGUCUUUAAGUCAGGGGUGAAAUCCUGGAGCUCAACUCCAGAACUGCCUUUGAUACUGAAGAUCUUGAGUUCGGGAGAGGUGAGUGGAACUGCGAGUGUAGAGGUGAAAUUCGUAGAUAUUCAGAAGAACACCAGUGGCGAAGGCGGCUCACUGGACCGGCAUUGACGCUGAGGUGCGAAAGCGUGGGGAGCAAACAGG
rnacentral:rRNA from 1 species